GAUGAACGCUGGCGGCGUGCCUAAUACAUGCAAGUCGAGCGAACAGACGAGGAGCUUGCUCCUCUGACGUUAGCGGCGGACGGGUGAGUAACACGUGGAUAACCUACCUAUAAGACUGGGAUAACUUCGGGAAACCGGAGCUAAUACCGGAUAAUAUAUUGAACCGCAUGGUUCAAUAGUGAAAGACGGUUUUGCUGUCACUUAUAGAUGGAUCCGCGCCGCAUUAGCUAGUUGGUAAGGUAACGGCUUACCAAGGCAACGAUGCGUAGCCGACCUGAGAGGGUGAUAGGCCACACUGGAACUGAGACACGGUCGAGACUCCUACGGGAGGCAGCAGUAGGGAAUCUUCCGCAAUGGGCGAAAGCCUAACAGGACAACGACGCGUGAGUGAUGAAGGUCUUCGGAUCGUAAAACUCUGUUAUUAGGGAAGAACAAAUGUGUAAGUAACUAUGCACGUCUUGACGGUACCUAAUCAGAGAGCCACGGCUAACUACGUG
rnacentral:rRNA from 1 species